UCAAACCGACACUGGUGCGCGAGAUGAGUAUUCUAAGGCGCUUGAGAGAACUCAGGAGAAGGAACUCGGCAAAUUGACACCGUAACUUCGGAAGAAGGUGUGCCUUUAGUAGGUGAACCUGUACAAGGGGAGCCCAAUGAGGUUGCAAAAAAUCGGUGGCUGCGACUGUUUAAUAAAAACACAGCACUCUGCAAACACGAAAGUGGACGUAUAGGGUGUGACGCCUGCCCGGUGCUGGAAGAUUAAAUGAUGGGGUGCAAGCUCUUGAUUGAAGUCCCAGUAAACGGCGGCCGUAACUAUAACGGUCCUAAGGUAGCGAAAUUCCUUGUCGGGUAAGUUCCGACCUGCACGAAUGGCGUAACGAUGGCCACACUGUCUCCUCCUGAGACUCAGCGAAGUUGAAAUGUUUGUGAUGAUGCAAUCUCCCCGCGGAAAGACGGAAAGACCCCAUGAACCUUUACUGUAGCUUUGUAUUGGACUUUGAACAGAUCUGUGUAGGAUAGGUGGGAGGCUUUGAAGUGUGGUCGCUAGAUCGCAUGGAGCCAACGUUGAAAUACCACCCUGGUGUGUUUGAGGUUCUAACCUAGGCCCGUAAUCCGGGUCGGGGACAGUGCAUGGUAGGCAGUUUGACUGGGGCGGUCUCCUCCCAAAGCGUAACGGAGGAGUUCGAAGGUACGCUAGGUACGGUCGGACAUCGUGCUAAUAGUGCAAUGGCAUAAGCGUGCUUAACUGCGAGACUGACAAGUCGAGCAGAUGCGAAAGCAGGACAUAGUGAUCCGGUGGUUCUGUAUGGAAGGGCCAUCGCUCAACGGAUAAAAGGUACUCUGGGGAUAACAGGCUGAUACCGCCCAAGAGUUCAUAUCGACGGCGGUGUUUGGCACCUCGAUGUCGGCUCAUCUCAUCCUGGGGCUGUAGCCGGUCCCAAGGGUAUGGCUGUUCGCCAUUUAAAGAGGUACGUGAGCUGGGUUUAAAACGUCGUGAGACAGUUUGGUCCCUAUCUUCCGUGGGCGCUGCAGAUUUGAGGAAGCCUGCUCCUAGUACGAGAGGACCGGAGUGGACACACCUCUGGUGUAUCGGUUGUCACGCCAGUGGCAUUGCCGAGUAGCUAUGUGUGGAAGAGAUAACCGCUGAAAGCAUCUAAGCGGGAAACUCGUUUCAAGAUGAGAUCUGCCGGGGCCUUGAGCCCCCUAAAGAGUCGUUCAAGACCAGGACGUUGAUAGGUCGGGUGUGGAAGCGCAGUAAUGCGUUAAGCUAACCGAUACUAAUUGCUCGUGCGGCUUGACCCU
rnacentral:rRNA from 1 species